rnacentral:rRNA from 1 species
UACGUAGGGGGCAAGCGUUGUCCGGAUUUAUUGGGCGUAAAGAGCGUGUAGGCGGCCAGGUAGGUCGGCUGUGAAAACUCGAGGCUCAACCUCGAGAUGUCGGCCGAAACCAUCUGGCUAGAGUCCGGAAGAGGAGAGUGGAAUUCCCGGUGUAGCGGUGAAAUGCGCAGAUAUCGGGAAGAACGCCCGUGGCGAAGGCGGCUCUCUGGGACGGUACUGACGCUGAGACGCGAAAGCGUGGGGAGCGAACAGG